rnacentral:rRNA from 1 species
GAUGAACGCUGGCAGCGUGCCUAAUACAUGCGAGUCGAGCGAACAGACGAGGAGCUUGCUCCUCUGACGUUAGCGGCGGACGGGUGAGUAACACGUGGAUAACCUACCUAUAAGACUGGGAUAACUUCGGGAAACCGGAGCUAAUACCGGAUAAUAUAUUGAACCGCAUGGUUCAAUAGUGAAAGACGGUUUUGCUGUCACUUAUAGAUGGAUCCGCGCCGCAUUAGCUAGUUGGUAAGGUAACGGCUUACCAAGGCAACGAUGCGUAGCCGACCUGAGAGGGUGAUCGGCCACACUGGAACUGAGACACGGUCCAGACUCCUACGGGAGGCAGCAGUAGGGAAUCUUCCGCAAUGGGCGAAAGCCUGACGGAGCAACGCCGCGUGAGUGAUGAAGGUCUUCGGAUCGUAAAACUCUGUUAUUAGGGAAGAACAAAUGUGUAAGUAACUAUGCACGUCUUGACGGUACCUAAUCAGAAAGCCACGGCUAACUACGUG